GCUAUUUUGAAAGUCUUCAAGGAGGAUGAUUUUCAGAAGCUAGGUUGUUCAUCAUCUACUGAAAGUGCAGUUCCUCAGGCAGAAGCUGAAGGAAGAAAGAACUUCAAGGAGUUUCUUCAUUGUACUACAACAACUUUGGAGAACAAAUCACUUCAGUUAAGAAGCACUGUAUCAGUUCCACUUACACAUGAUACUAAAUUCUAUAGAAAAGCUUUCCAGGUUUGCACUGUCAUGUCCAGCCAACUCACUUCUGCUUCCUUACACAGUAUCCAAGAACAAGAGGAGUGGAGCCCUAUGGAGCAUCACCUAAGUUCUGCAUAUCUUCUUUUUCCAUUUCUCUACUUUCCCCCUUGGCUGUCACCAAGAAAAACCUCACCUAUAAGAAGUUUCAUUUUCCCAGAAAAACUCCUGGGCAUGACUCUGUAAAUAAGAAUACUAUCUACUAUAGUAUCCAUCUAUGGUAAGCAGUUUCUAGCCUAAGAAUUAUACCACUGAGAUAAAAUUAGUUGCCCUUUAUCCUUCACUAAUGCAGAAAAUCAAAGAGAGAAAGGCCAGAAGACAAGAAGGGCCAGAAGUUCAAAAACAGUUGGAAGGCAACAGAGGAGUGGAGCCUAACAGAGUUGCAAGGAAUCCUUGGCAUGAAGUCUAUGCUUCAGAGGGGGAUGCUGGAGAAAACAAAACUGUGCCAGACCACAAGCAGAGACACAACUGGGAAGGGAAAAGAGGAUGGUGUCAGAGCACGUCCCCGUGAUGCUGUGAGAGAUGCCAGCUGCAGCACAAGUGGAAGCCAGCAACAGAUGGAAGUGUUCAAACGGACAUGAUGGGCAGCAAAUGGUGAAGCCACCUAAGCUCCCUUCUGCCAGCUCCUAUAGACAGUGAUCUCAGUUGAGGGUUUGUCUUUGAUGCAAGUGCACAUCUUCACAAGAAGAAAUGGGCCCUUGUGCUUCCACACAAGCAGAGAACAGGGAUGCUGUUUCAAGGAUAGUGCAUACAGAUGUGGAUAAGAUUUCACAAAUGUGCAGACCACGUUAUUGCUCUGCAUUUAUCUCAUCCAUCCUUUCCUUCACAAGUAACUCUUGCCUCUCCUCAUCCUGGUCCCAGCUGCAGUAUGUUCUGGCUCUUCAAGCAGGUUUGUAAAACAACUAAUUUGCUACCAAAAUUACCUGGCUCACACUGAAAGCUAAAUUAUUCUGCCAACUCUUGCAUAUUAUGCACACAAAAAUUAAAGGCAUAGCCCAUGAAGUCCUGUAGAUACCAGCCACCUUCUUGGAGGUCAAAAUAUCUUUUCAUGGACUAUAAAUGUAACCACAGGAGCUAAAUUAAGCCUCUGAACGGGGAACUCAAGUCCUUAGGAGCUGCUUUUUCCCCCUCCACUUUCCUCCUUUCUCAGACUCAAGGGAGCCUGUUUCUUGUUUCUUCAGACGAGCCACCCACUCACAGGAUAUUCAACCAGAGAAUUUCCAUUGCGUAUUCUUGGCAACCUGGUGUUUACCACAGUGGCUGACCUGACCCACCAGCUUGCUUCAUCACAGCAUCCAUAGCACAAGUCAGUUCCUGGGUUAUUUCUGCAACAGCAGAAGGGUGAGCUCAGUCCUUGCUUUCUGGGGCUGCUUUGUCCAAACCUCAUACCAUGUAAGCUGAUCAAAUGCUUCCAGGCACCCCAGGUGUCCAGGCAGAGCAUUUGUCUGGCAAUGCACACUGUGCAUUGGCUGCUGUGGAUGGGUCGCUUAUGCAAAGGGCUGGUAUUUUAAACAACUAAUUUUUUGGACGGAAGACAGCGUCUUUUUAUCAUGAGGCAGACACCACAUGAUUUUCUGAAAUGACCAUAGAGCUUUGCUGACAGGUUUCAUGGAGAAAUGGAAGCAUGCAUGACUGGAAAGUCUGCACUAUCAUACAGCCAGUGUUUACUGGCAGCUUUCAAGAAGAAUCAUGAGCACUGGAUGGUGGGAUAUGUAUUAAAGUGCAUAAAUCAGAUAAUAGAGAGUUAAGACUAAUAAUAUUCACAUGAAUAAGGGCCAACUUUGCUAGAACUCUCAGCUAGCCAGGAGUUCUCCUGUCUGCUGUGCAGGCUGACACACAAACAAGAUGUACUCCAGGACUCCAGAAUAAAAUAAGAUCCUCUGGAAGCAAUUCCAGACUUCUGCAGAUGUGUGGUUUAUCAGCAUCAAUCAUAAUGGCAACAAGCAUGUAGUAAUCCCCCACAAAAAAACCACCCAAGGUCCCCAGCUGCAGUGUAAAAUUAAUGUGUUGAGGUAAAGACUCACCGAGAAAAAUCAAGGAGUGAGCUAAAACACCAGGGCACUGCCCUGGUGAGAGCUCCCAGAGCAAUUGUUUCAAAUGUCAAGGAGCAAAGCAGAGGAUAGAUGCAGGUAAGAGGAAACUGCCAAGUUGGGAGUAGAUUAAGGUGAAAGAGUGCACCUUGUUAAAUGUAACUGUUCAUUUCACAUUCAAACUUCCAGUAUGGGGAAUAGUCAUGUUCAUGUUUGUUUUCAGAUUAGACUCUAAUUUAUCCUUCCUUCUUCCUAUUUUUGGUUAUUCGUCUCAUCUUAUUUAGGUAAACAGACAUCCUCAUCUACAAGAAGUCAUUAUUUUUAAGCCAGUUCCUAAACUACUUUCAGCACCUCAGAAAUGUAUUACAUUUUGCGAAGUUCUACCUCUAAUUUCACCAUCUUAAAUUUAUUUGAGCUUGAAAAAUGAAGUCUUUCUACUACAUGAAAAAGACUACAGGAAACCAUGUAGUCUUUUUAACCUGCACAGCCUAAAACUGACAGAAUUGCUCUGAAAAAUAGAUGCUGGAGAUGCCAGAACCAGCUGCAAGCUCUUGUCCUGGUGGUUUGAGUCUGAAGAAGAGGUGUUCUGGGAAAGGAAUCAGUGUUUGUAUGGAAUCAGCAAAUCUGGGCCAUAUACUCUGGAGAAGCUUAACUCCUUCCUUUGAGAUUGCUUCUCACUGCCAUAGUAACUAGCAAAUCAGAUAAAGUUAACAACAAAUGGAAACGCAGGACUGGCCUUUAGCCAUGUUACUGCAUCACUUGCUUAGAGACCAGCCAAGCUGUCAGUGCUCCAGAUGUGCUGCAUAGCUGGAUAUUAAAAUUUAGCAUAACUUCAUUUCUAUUUCACUAACAGGAGAACGGUUAUUGCCUGAUACUGCUUACAGUGAAACAAUAGAAAUGUCAGCAGAGGGUUAUCAGAAUUUAAUUUCAGUGGAAUGACUAGACUUGAACUUGACUCAAGUUGUACAGAGAAAUUCUGAUGGGUAGGUAGAAAUAGAGCUUUCUUCCCCUGUUAUACAGCAAAUAUAGAUGAGAUGCUCACUGCAUAGCACAGACACUUCUGAACCACGGCAUUUCUGCUCAGAAAUAAUUUUAAACUGAAACCAUAGCUUCCUUUUUAACUGGAUUUUUGACCCAUUUAAUGGAGAUCUGAAAAAUUCCUCAGUUCCAAAAUGCUCUGUGCUGGCAAACGGGGCAGAAGCAUAAGUCUGAGCUCCAAGUUGUUCUGAGUAUUGAUCCUCAUCAGUCCACCUUUAAAAAUAAAUCUCAUUGUUCAGACUGUGUAUCAACAAGAGCCAAACAGAGUACUGCUUAAAGAAUCAUUAAAUGGUUUGGGUUGGAAAGGACCUUCAAAGUUCAUCUAGUCCAAUCCCCCUGCCAUGGGCAGGCACAUCUUUCCCUAGAUCAGCUUGCUCAAAGCCCACCCAACCUGGCCUUGAACACUUACAAUAAUGUGGCAGAUACAGCUUGUCUGGGCAAUUUGUUUUUGUGACUCACCACUCUCAUGAUAAAAAAAAUUCUUCCUUAUAUCUGAUAUACUUGAUUAAGUGACUAUGAGCUUUUGGUGGCAGAUACUAGUCACAUGUACAAGGCUGAGACCGUGGGGAGCAUGAUGAUACCUCUGGUGUAUACGGACACACCAGGCUGAACAUCUGCAGUGUUUCCUUGUGCAUUGCUCGUGCACUUUUGCUCUGUGAUGCCACACAAAGCGUUUAGAAUGAUCACUAUUAAAGCUGAAGCUAUUCUGCUUCAGCAGGUCAGAGAACAGAGUAGAAACAAUGAUAGUUACCAACAAAAGGCUAGUCAACCAAUGUGCCAAAGAAAGGGGAAAUUCAUAAGAGAAAAUUUAUUUUAGGAAGGCUCUUGGAAAGAAGAGUGUUUUCUUUCCUUUGUAUAUACUGAAUAGAAGAAGUUUUAAACAAAGCACAGAUUUUGCAUGUCUGCUGAAAGAAAUUACCAAAGAACUGCCUGAAAACAGCACUGAAACAAGAUUGCAGCUUUAAAGACAACAUUAACUGAUGCAACUGUCUGGUCUGACCGUCUGUUCUCACACCAGAAGCAUUCGUGUCACACUUGUAGAAGUGCAUGUCAAUGUGAUGCUCCUGUACUGACUUCAAUCCUACUGCAGUCCACAGUUGGCUUCACUUUUUUGUGGAAUAAAGAUAAAUGAAACUAGAAACCAACAUCAUCAGUUUUAAGGUGUGAAUUGUAAUACUUGUCAUUGCUUUGCAUAUUGUAA